rnacentral:rRNA from 1 species
GUUUACCUCUAUCCCUGCUUAGCAUCUUGGCUGCCCCCUGCUGAUUCUGUUUGAGAUUGGGAGAUAAGCAGGGCUGGACCAGUUUAGCACUUGGAUAGGAUACCACCAGGGAAUACCUGGUGCUGUCAGCU